ensembl:lncRNA
CUGAAACGUUAGUAUGGAAGCCUGAAAGCUCAGCGUGUAGAGGCAGGUCGGAGAGCCUGGACGUGCACAGGGCCGGGGUGGAAAGUUCAUUAGGGACCUCCUCACUAAAUCUCCUCAGUGUCCUGUUGGGAUUAGAGAAUGUGGAUCUACAUCUGAAUCCAUUUACCCAGAAGGUGGAUCUACUGAAGUACGUGUCCAGCCUGGUGCCGCACAGUAAGAACUCGUCUCUGUAUGAGGAUGAUGAUGGAUGUGCAGUGCUGAACGUUGGACUCUACUCAAUCCUGACCCUCCCUACACAACAAGCCUUUGGUCCAAGCUUUUCAGAUGAGUUCAGUGUUCUUCUUCAGCUGCGGAGCUCUCAGGAGGAGGAUCGUAGCAUCCUGACCAUUCUAGACUUCUACAAUCAGGUGAUGCUCCAGAUACGACUCAGUCCGUCCAGCUUCACUUUCAUCAUCGCCCAGCAGAGGGAUUAUGAGUUUGUGGUACCCGGCCUCUCUGAUUCACAGUGGCACUGGCUCUCAGUGGGGGUCUCUUUUGAGUAUCUGGUGGUGUACGUGGACUGUGUGCUGGUGGAGAAAGUCAGAUGGAUGUACCCCUACAUGGGCAUCACCACCGAAGGUCUGCUGAUGGUCGGGGGCAUUGCAGAGGGGUUUGAGACACCUUUUGAGGGAGAGCUGAGGCAGAUGAUGUUUCUGAUGGGGGAUGGAAGAGCUGCCAGCCAUCACUGCAGCCUCUACAGGCCUGUGUGUGAACCUUCAGUCCCAGAAUCCCAUUCUCCUGAAACUCAGCACAGCACUCAGACACCUUCAACACUGUCCUCAACCAGCCUCUGGAGCAACAAGGAACCUUUAUUUCCCCCAGAGUCCUCCACUGACCCAGGGGACCAUGGCAUCGGGGAAACUCCAAUCCAGCUCGGGCCUGAAGAUUGGGAAGCAGAUGUGCUGGAUCUUCUGGUUCCCGAAAAAGACACUUCCUCCCGCUCCCAGAGAGGAGACUUUAAUGGCUUUCGUGUGGUGGAGGAACGUGACCGGCUCAAAUCCCCUCACAUCACCUCACACGACAGGAUUAAGGAGAGCACUGACAAAAAGGCCCAGUCCACCUCGGCGAAAUCCACGGCGGAGAACUCGCCCUCGCCCUCGCUGAAAAGAAAAGCACACUUGGUUGUUGGUCUGUUGGAUGUUAUUCCUGCUAAGCCCUCGAGGGACAUCAUUGACCUGGAUUCUAAACCCGAUACAAGGCGUGAACUGGAGAAGCUCAGUGAUUUGAACUUGACGGAGGAGAACCUGUUACCGUCUGUGAGGGCGAACAGCAGUCCCCCGUCACUUACAUCACUUACCCAGAAAAGCACGGAAAAGCCUGCGGAGAGCAGAGCGGCCGGCUCAGUGCACCCGGGCUCACGGAGGAGUUCAUAUAAACACGGUGAUGUAAUCUCAGCCUCUGACGGGAGGAGAUACAGACUGCUUAAAGGGCCUCAAGGGCCGGUCGGGCCUCCGGGGAAAAGAGGCUGUGCCGGGAACAGAGGACAUGUUGGAUUUAAGGGCGACAAGGGUUCUCAAGGUGAAAGAGGUCGAGAUGGGCCCACAGGAGAUCCAGGGCCUCCAGGACCACCAGGAUUACCUACAUUCUACCUGUGGAGAAACACUUUGGAGGAAUGGGCUGCAUUCAGGAGAACAGCGUAUUACCACUUGCUGGCAGCAGGCUGGCCUAGAGACAUGGGGCCUCCUGGAGCAAUAGGGGAGAUGGGGAGACCAGGACCACCUGGGAUUCCUGGAGACCCAGGAGAGAUGGGACGUCCAGGACGGCAAGGGGACAUGGUAAUCUGUCUCACCUGUCUGAUAUUGGUUAUUAUAGCUGGGUAU